rnacentral:rRNA from 1 species
UACAGAGGGUGCGAGCGUUGUCCGGAAUCACUGGGCGUAAAGGGCGCGUAGGCGGUCUGGUAAGCGUGUGGUGAAAGCUCGGGGCUCAACCCCGAGUCGGCCGUGCGAACUGCUGGACUGGAGCAUGUCAGAGGCAGGCGGAAUUCCGGGUGUAGCGGUGGAAUGCGUAGAGAUCCGGAAGAACACCGGUGGGGAAGGCGGCCUGCGGGACAUGGCUGACGCUGAGGCGCGACAGCGUGGGGAGCAAACAGG